rnacentral:lncRNA from 1 species
AGGCGGAUUUAGGGGAUGGGGAUAGGUCGGGGGACGGGGUUUGGGGAUGGCUAACUGCGCCCUUCCUAUGCAGCGUUAGAAAGCAGCACACAAAAGUACUCGUUAUCGCUGUUUCCUCGUCUAAAACCAGCUCCGCUCGCGCCAGCUCCCCUAACCCCACCCCGAAAAACCUGUGCGCAAGCAGCCGCCGGCAACGACGGACUUGCGAGAAAUACCGGUAAUUUAGCCGUCGCCUGACAACGGCACGAAACACGCAGCCCUUCUCUAAGGGUAUUUGCGAGAAAGCGAAGGCGCUUUGCUUUGUUUGCUUAGGUUGGCGAUGAAAAGGAGUGAAUGUUACGACGGCUUUAUAAAGCUAAUAUCGCCUGGGAAGAAAAACACCAUCAAACGCACCGGGUUGUUGUGGCAGCUCGUGUUUGAGCGCACGCAGCCAAUUUCUGCAAAGGGCUCCGCUGGCGCGGCUCCGCGGAGCGGCCUCCGGCUCGGCUCAGCUCGGGCUUCGCGAGAGCUUCCCGGUGGCCGCCAGGCCGCUGCUGCCCACGGGUGUCUGCGUGACACCCCGUGUCGGCCGAAUUGGGCCACCCUGUGCAGGACACCGGCGUUGCUCAAGCGCGGCAGAUACCGGCCACCAAUCCAGAAGGAGGAUCCCCUGGAAGACCAAACCUCAUCUGUCACGUUAAAUGACUUGAGUCUUGGCUACCUGACCCAAACUCCCCGGUACAAAUUAUAUGUAGCGCUAAGCCUCAAACUGCCCCGGAGCUGUCACUCCCCAGGGUGUUUUCACGUGAGCUCUGACUCGAGAGAUGGGAGCAGAAGUUGGGCCGGCAGGUUGUUCGGCGCCUCCGACAUCCCAAGGUCUUGAUGCCGGGGCUGGGCGUACUGCCGAGGUCGCUGCCGCACGCUCGGCUUUCCUCGUGAGAAUUCGCUGGGACCCAAGGACAGCACGGCAGCAUUUUGUAAGUCCUCACUGAUGCAUCUCUUCCAAGCCUUCCUGUUCAGGCUCUUUCACAAAAAUAAAAAACCCGCCAGAUUUUCA